GAUGAACGCUGGCGGCGUGCCUAAUACAUGCAAGUCGAGCGAACGGACGAGAAGCUUGCUUCUCUGACGUUAGCGGCGGACGGGUGAGUAACACGUGGAUAACCUACCUAUAAGACUGGGAUAACUUCGGGAAACCGGAGCUAAUACCGGAUGAUAUUUUGAACCGCAUGGUUCAAUAGUGAAAGACGGUCUUGCUGUCACUUAUAGAUGGAUCCGCGCUGCAUUAGCUAGUUGGUAAGGUAACGGCUUACCAAGGCAACGAUGCGUAGCCGACCUGAGAGGGGGAUCGGCCACACUGGAACUGAGACACGGUCCAGACUCCUACGGGAGGCAGCAGUAGGGAAUCUUCCGCAAAGGGCGAAAGCCUGACGGAGCAACGCCGCGUGAGUGAUGAAGGUCUUCGGAUCGUAAAACUCUGUUAUUAGGGAAGAACAUAUGUGUAAGUAACUGUGCACAUCUUGACGGUACCUAAUCAGAAAGCCACGGCUAACUACGUG
rnacentral:rRNA from 1 species